GAUGAACGCUGGCGGCGUGCCUAAUACAUGCAAGUCGAGCGAACGGACGAGAAGCUUGCUUCUCUGAUGUUAGCGGCGGACGGGUGAGUAACACGUGGAUAACCUACCUAUAAGACUGGGAUAACUUCGGGAAACCGUAGCUAAUACCGGAUAAUAUUUUGAACCGCAUGGUUCAAAAGUGAAAGACGGUCUUGCUGUCACUUAUGGAUGGAUCCGCGCUGCAUUAGCUAGUUGGUAAGGUAACGGCUUACCAAGGCAACGAUGCAUAGCCGACCUGAGAGGGUGAUCGGCCACACUGGAACUGAGACACGGUCCAGACUCCUACGGGAGGCAGCAGUAGGGAAUCUUCCGCAAUGGGCGAAAGCCUGACGGAGCAACGCCGCGUGAGUGAUGAAGGUCUUCGGAUCGUAAAACUCCGUUAUUAGGGAAGAACAUAUGUGUAAGUAACUGUGCACAUCUUGACGGUACCUAAUCAGAAAGCCACGGCUAACUACGUG
rnacentral:rRNA from 1 species